GGAGACGUGGCAGAGUGGUAAUGCAGCUCCCUGCUAAGGAGUACAACCCAUCAAAAGGUUGCGUGAGUUCGAUCCUCACCGUCUCCUCCA
rnacentral:tRNA from 1 species